GUGCAACUAAUUAAAGGCAGACUGGCAGCGUCUGUAAAUUCUAAGGCUCCCCAAAUAAAAAGAGACUGUUGUAACAGUUGGAGGAUAAUGCAAAGGAAGACGCUGCUUGGGAAGUCACCGUCUGUGGACAUGCGCCCCAGAGAGGACUAGAGCAGCCCUCGCCUUGCUCUCCCCACCCGGAUCCCACUUUCCUGCACGGCCCGGCCCGUACCCCGACCCCACCAUCACCCGCUUCCCUUCCCCCCACCUCUCCCCCUUUCCCACCCAGGUGUCGGACCAGGCGGUCCCCACUUCCACCCUGCACCCCUUCUUCCCCCCCUGCACCAUGAACACCAAUGUCUGCGUGGAGCCCGGGCCGAGCCCGGAGGCCCCGGGCUUGCCCAAGGAAAGCCACCUGCCCGAGGGGGCCCUGAACAGCCUUGUGGAUUACAACUCGGAGAUGGAGCGUUACCGCUCCUUUGCCACCUCCUUCUACAAGACCAACGGGGGCGCCUUCCCGCAGGCAGCCAAGAUCGCGCGCAUCACCACCCCCAUCUUCCC
rnacentral:lncRNA from 1 species